AACAAUUCUCAGUUUCUGAGGGGUAGAAGGUUAACUGAAUGCCAAAUUACAUUACCUUGGUAAUUUGAAACUCCAUCAUCUUAAUUAUUUUGGAAAUAUGAGAAGAAUCUGUAAUUUCUGUGGCAUAGAGAACUCUUGGUAUGGAAACUCCCUCUACUGACACUGAUCAUAAGUCAUCUAUGGCCUGGAAUUCACUCCAUCAACGCAACUCACAACUCAUUCACAACUUCACAGGCUUCCAAGUUGAGGACUCCUUCCAUUACUCCAUAUUUUCACAGCUGCUGACUGAACAACCAAAAUUUUAAAAGGACGGGCUCUUGUGGGAAGAGACAAGCAUUGCUUGGAACCCAUGACUAUAAUCUAAAGCAGCUUGCCAUGUUAGGCAAUAAAAUCUUCAGGGCAAAUAGCAAGAAGUUCCCUUAAAUUGUACUGGGCGGGGGAAGCUACUACAGAGUGGUUCAACUGGAAUGCAGACACCAGAGUGU